UUGUGGUCUAGGGGUGAUGACGUCUCCUUUACACGGAGAAGAUCAGUGGUUCGAUUCCACUC
rnacentral:tRNA from 1 species